GGCCGCGGUANCCUAACCGUGCNAAGGUAGCGUAAUCACCUGUCUAUUAAUUGUAGACCCGUAUGAAUGGCAAAAUGAGGGUCUAGCUGUCUCUUAUAGUAAAUCAAUUAAACUGAUCUCCCAGUCCAAAAGCUGGGAUACCAACAUAAGACCAGAAGACCCUGUGAAGCUUAAACUAAACUAUUAAAACAUAUUAUACCUCAUUUCGGUUGGGGCGACCUUGGAAAAAAAUAGAACUUCCAAAAAAUGACCUAUCAUCAACCACACAAGGCAAACAAGCCAACAAUAGACCCAGUUCAAACUGAGCAUUGAAACAAGUUACUCCAGGGAUAACAGCGCUAUCUUCUUCAAGAGCCCAUAUCAAAAAGAAGGUUUACGACCUCGAUGUUGGAUCAGGACAUCCCAGCGGUGCAGCAGCUACUAAAGGUUCGUUUGUUCAACGAUUAAUAGUCCCACGUGAUCUGAGU
rnacentral:rRNA from 1 species